rnacentral:rRNA from 1 species
AGCUCCAAUAGCGUAUAUUAAAGUUGUUGCGGUUAAAAAGCUCGUAGUUGGAUUUCUGCUUAGGACGACCGGUCCGCCCACUGGGUGAGUAUCUGGCUCGGCCUGGGCAUCCUCUUGGAGAACGUUACUGCACUUGACUGUGUGGUGCGGUAUCCAGGACUUUUACUUUGAGGAAAUUAGAGUGUUUCAAGCAGGCACACGCCUUGAAUAUAUUAGCAUGGAAUAAUAAGAUAGGACUUUUCGACUAUUUUGUUGGUUUGCGUUGUGAAGUAAUGAUUAAGAGGGACAGUUGUGGGUAUUCGUAUUCAGAUGUCAGAGGUGAAAUUCCUAGAUUAUCGGAAGACGAACGACUGCGAAAGCAUUUACCAAGGAUGUUU